CUGCAGUGAGGAAGUACACACUUCCCAGGGGACAUUGCCAGUGGCGAUACGUGGUGUCAAGUGACUCCAGGGAACCUUGCUUGCAGAGUCUGGAAUCUUCUAUGAAAAGAAAUGUCAAUAUACAAGUGAAGUCUGUUUCGUGUAUUCCAAAUGGCAUCUGUGGUGAGCAGAGAAAAGGCUCCAGACAAAGACAGCCAAAGGCCUUCCAGGGUCCGCUGAGCAUUUUGAAGUAUGAGCCAGAGAAACAGCCCUUUGGACUUUGAUUUGUGCUUUUCGGUACGCACGGUGGAGAGUGGGCGGGUGACAUUUCGUGGAUAUUUUUGUAUCCUUUUACAGUUCUCCGCUUUAAAUGAGGGAUAAAUCUGAAGAAGUUGCAUGCAACCCAAAUUGUGGGGUUUGAAAUAUCUUCAUGGAGCUGGCUGAAUAAAGGGGGCAAGCAAGUGUUGUUUCUUAUCGUCAGCCUCAGCCCAGCCUGUGAAUGUCUCAGUGGGUUUCACUAAAGCCAGGUCCAGGUAACUUAUUAUAGUCAAUACUUAUAUAGCCAUUUCAGUUUUCAGGCAAGGUAAAAUUGCUAAUUACUUCUUUCAGUUUUUCUCUGAGGGUGAGUGGCUUCCAUCACAAGUCCAAUGUUAUUUCUACAUAUGAUUAACUGAGCCAGCCGCUGACUCAAAAGAAAACUAAUUAUUACUUUCCUGUCCUGAUGCAGGGUAUUAGAACAUAUAAUUAGGUGAAUUCAAAACCAUCACAAAUUGCCUGAGAAACUGGAUUUCUGGCAUUGGUAAGAUUAGGAUGUUCAUUCUUUACCAGAAAAGUAUGUGGAAGUAUCACACAGAAAAUGUUUACAGUUUGUGAGUGCACAGGAAGAGCAACCAUAAUACUAACAAGAAACAGUUACCGUCAAUCAAAUAUGGCUACUUUCAGUGCUUCUAUGGCUAACAAACAUAGCAUUCACAUUUGCACAUGGUUGAAAACUUCAAAAGAUGAAUAAUGUUUGUGAUAUUUUAAAAAUUAUAUGGAAUUUAAUGUCCAUAAAGAAAGUUUUAAUAGUGUAGUUAUAUUCCUGAAUUCAUAUAACCUAUACUCUUGUAUGGUAAAAGCAGCAAUGUAUGGUUUUGAUAGAAACUGUAUGACUCAUAUUUAAAGUAUUUACUAUCUGGCUUUUUAUUAGAAAAAGAUUGCUGACAUCUUGUAUUUAACAUAUGAAGUGGUAUGUAUCCGAGCAAUAAAUAGAGUAUAGCAUUGAAAAACAAUGUCCAUAUUUGAUUUAAGUGAAAUGCCAAAAUAUCGCAAAGUUACUGAACACUGAAAUAAUGUAUACGUAAACAUAUAAGACAUAAUUAGUCAUAUCAAGAUGACAUAUAAGUGAUUUUUAAAAAGAAAUAUAUUUGUUUGUGUUAUUUAAAUUUUUUCAUGUAACAUAGUUUGAUCAUACUCUUUUCCUUCCCUCCCAUAUCUUCCCUCCCUCCAUACCCAUCCAAUCUUAUGUUCUUUCUCUCUAUCUAAUGACAACAACAAGCAAAUGAAUACACAAAUAAAAUAAUACAAAACAAAAAGUGCACAAAAAAACAUGGAGUCCGUUUUAGGCUAGCCAGCUACUCCUGAAGAGUGGAUGAUACACCCAGGGACAUUCCAGUGAAGAAAAUUGAUUUCCUUUUUCUGGCAAGUAUCAAUUGCAAUAGCUUCUUGGUUAAGGAUGGGACUUUGUAUAUAUUUCCCCUUCUCAAUGCUGGGGUUUUGCCUGGUUUGAAUCUGUGCAGGUAUUGUGUGUGCAGUCAUAGUCUCUGUGUUCAUAUGUGUGCCCCUCCUGUUGUGUCUGGGAGAUGGCGUUUCUUUGGAUCAUUCACCAUCACUGGGUGCUCAGCUUACCUCCAUUUCUACUGACUUCAGCCACACUGCUCUCUGGAGACUGUUCAUGGACCAGGUACUUAUGGUACUUAUUGGUCCAGCCUACAGUGACAUGGAGAAUACAGAGACCCACGACCUCAAUGACCCCUGGGCUACUCCUGAGCUCAAGUUUAGAGAGAAUGAACGCUGUUUGGACCAACGUCAGAAUUCAUCACAGGAAAGGCAAGCGUCUACAAGUUCAGCAGACCCUGACAACGGCCCACUGCUAGGAGACCCAAAUGUUUAAGGGCUAAGCUGUUCUAAUACUUCAUCUGCUUGCCUCCUCCUUGCCCUUCUUCCCCCUCCACCUCUUCUCUCUCGGUUUUGCUCCCUUAUUCCCCAUUUUUCUCGUCAUACUGAACUUUGAAUAGUAUUUGACUGUGCCUUAUUUAAAGAUUUUAUAUGCUUUUAUAUCCCAGCUAUAAAUUUUUCCUUAUUUUUUCACAAUAGGGAAGUAUUUCUUUCUUUUUUGUUCUUUUUUUUUUUUUCUUAUCACACUCUCCUUCCCUUUGCUUCUGGUUUUUUGAGACAAGCUUUCUUUGUGGAACCUUGGACCUUCUGGACCUUGCUCUGUAGACCAGGAGAUGUGCUUGUCUCUACCUCCUAAGUGCUGGGAUUAGAGGCAUGUCCUACCACCACCUGGCUUUCUUCUUUUUUUCCCUUUAAAAUAACAAUCUGUUUCUUCUUUUCCUUUUAUUAUUUUAUUAACCCUACUUCCUCUCUUUCCCUUACCUCUUCUGUAAUCUCACUCAUUUGCUGUUUUUCAUUAAAUCUGAAUAAUUUUUAACUUCAUGUAACAGUGUAUGUUAAUUUUGCCAGUUUCUGGUGUAUAAGUAUUGGCGAUGUGUUUGUGGAAUUUAUUUAAUUUUAAUGUGUUUCUCUAACUAGGUUGGCUUGGUGGUGUUAGGAGAGCAAUCUGUCUUCUUGUUUUGAGUGGUACUUUUGAGUGGGUUGAGUCCUCACGAGUAGGCUGCUCAUUGUGAAGACUUCCAAAUAAAACUGGAAGGGCGAUCCAAAUCAACAGAUGCACAAAUUGCAAUGGCAGCACCGCAAAAAAUACAAAAAGGCUAGGUUACUAUACGUCCUCCAAAUAAUCCUUUGACUACUGUGGUGGUUUGAAUAUGUUUGGCCCAGGGAGUGGCACUAUUAGGAGGUAUGGCCUAUUUGAAGUGGGU